UUUGAUGUUGACAGGGACACCACUUCAAAAUAAUCUACAUGAGUUAUGGUCUAUGUUGGAGUUUAUGAUGCCUGAUAUUUUUGCUUCUGAAGAUGUCGAUUUAAAAAAGUUACUUAGUGCAGAAGAUAGAGAUUUAAUUAGUCGUAUGAAGUCUAUCUUAGGGCCAUUUAUUUUGCGGCGUCUGAAAUCUGAUGUGAUACAGUAACUUGUUCAAAAAACACAGCAGGUUGAAUAUGUCAUAAUGGAAAAGCAACAGGAUCAUGCUUACAAGGAAGCCAUUGAGGAGUAACGUACAAUUUCACAAGCUCGAUUAACAA